GAGAGCUUGCUCUCUGAUUUUAGCGGCGGACGGGUGAGUAACACGUGGGCAACCUGCCCUACAGAUGGGGAUAACUCCGGGAAACCGGGGCUAAUACCGAAUAAUCAGUUUGUCCGCAUGGACAAACUCUGAAAGACGGUUUCGGCUGUCACUGUAGGAUGGGCCCGCGGCGCAUUAGCUAGUUGGUGGGGUAAUGGCCUACCAAGGCAACGAUGCGUAGCCGACCUGAGAGGGUGAUCGGCCACACUGGGACUGAGACACGGCCCAGACUCCUACGGGAGGCAGCAGUAGGGAAUCUUCCACAAUGGACGAAAGUCUGAUGGAGCAAUGCCGCGUGAGCGAAGAAGGUUUUCGGAUCGUAAAGCUCUGUUGUAAGGGAAGAACACGUACGGGAGUAACUGCCCGUGCCAUGACGGUACCUUAUUAGAAAGCCACGGCUAACUACGUGCCAGCAGCCGCGGUAAUACGUAGGUGGCAAGCGUUGUCCGGAAUUAUUGGGCGUAAAGCGCGCGCAGGCGGUUCUUUAAGUCUGAUGUGAAAGCCCACGGCUCAACCGUGGAGGGUCAUUGGAAACUGGAGAACUUGAGUACAGAAGAGGAAAGCGGAAUUCCACGUGUAGCGGUGAAAUGCGUAGAGAUGUGGAGGAACACCAGUGGCGAA
rnacentral:rRNA from 1 species